rnacentral:lncRNA from 1 species
CAGAAGUUGCACGCACAGGAGAGGGAAAAAGAUCAAGGCUCUGAAUGACAAGUUUGCCUCCUUCAUCAACAAGAUAUGAGGUUGAGAAUACUCGACACACAGCAGUAGAGAACGAGUUUGUGUUGCUUAAGAAGAUGAGACCAGAAGCACCCACAGGCUCAAGUGUCUCCUGUGUCUGUAUCCUAAGCAACUCUGCUCAGGACUUCAUCCAGGACACCUGGAGAGAGUCUAGGAGCUGAAUUUUGUUGGGACCAGAGUUAUGACUUCCAAUCCAGGAGCUGUGGCUGGCUGCUGGCUCCACAGGGACAGCAUGAAACACACGGGAAUAAGGUGUUGGAGUUGAACCGGCUUAUCUAGAGGAUCCGCUGUGACAUCGCUACGGCGAGGAAGCAGGAUUCAUCAGAAGAGAUCAAGCUUGCCUGGGCUGAGAAGUCCUCUAAGGGAGGCUGUUUUCCUUUACCCCUCUGUGGUAGUCGCCUGGCAUGGAGAGACAGCUUGAUAAAUGCUGA